AUUGAACGCUGGCGGCAGGCCUAACACAUGCAAGUCGAGCGAGUGGCGGACGGGUGAGUAAUGCUUGGGAAUCUAGCUUAUGGAGGGGGAUAACUACGGGAAACUGUAGCUAAUACCGCAUACCAUAGGAUGAGCACAUGUGGGAUUAGGUAGUUGGUGAGGUAAAGGCGCACCAAGCCUACGAUCUCUAGCUGGUCUGAGAGGAUGACCAGCCACACUGGAACUGAGACACGGCCCAGACUCCUACGGGAGGCAGCAGUGGGGAAUAUUGCGUAAUGGGGGCAACCUGAAGCAGCCAUGCCGCGUGAAUGAAGAAGGCCUUCGGGUUUUAAAGUUCUUUCGGUGGCGAGGCGUUACCUACAGAAGAAGCACCGGCUAACUCCGUGCCAGCAGCCGCGGUAAUUC
rnacentral:rRNA from 1 species